AGCAGGUGUGAUGCUGCUGGACCCGUGGGGCAGGGGGUGGUCUCAGCCCACGCUUCCUUUAAGAGUGUGAGCUGAAGGCAGCUCCGUCAUUUAAAGGUAUAGAUAUGCACUGUCCAUAAAACACGCCCAGUAAGUGGAGGACAGUGCUGCUCAACUAAAGGGACAGCGGCUCUACCGGAGAUAAAACUGGCUGUUCAGUGCUUAAUGAGAGUUUCUCUCCAGAGCCAUGCCUUCUGAAUGGGUUUUCACAGGCUGACUUUAAAAUCCCACCCUGGUUAGGAUCGGAUUCUACUAUACAACAGAUAAAGCAGAGUGGCUCUGAUGAAGUGACAUGGGAGAAACUCCAAGAGCCUCCCCCUCCCUGAUGCAGCUUCCCCUGACUUCUUCACCUCUCUAGAGACCAAGUCCUGGGCCAUCUGUCGAAUGCAGCCAGAAGAAUCCUGGAAGCCACAUGUUGAAGAUGACAGAGACACCUUGGGUCUGAUUCCUGGAAUCUCUGCAUGAUGGAGGAUGGUGGUUAUUGUAUGGCAAAGGUAUUUAUAUUCCAUUGGAUGUAUCUUAAAAGGUGACACGUUAUAAAGCAGAAACUAACACAACAUUGUAAAGCAAUUAUACUCCAAUAAAGAUGUUUAAAAAACAAAGGUGACACAAGAGUUUUAUUUUUUAUGUCAACAUUUACAAUAGGCCAGAAAUUUUAUCCUUCAUAUUCAUAUAUGCCUGUGAUAAAAAAUAAAAAGUUUCAGAGACAAUCUAAAAGUGUACAAGGUAGUCUAUAAUUUUUCAAAAUUCCUUUAAAGGAUAUGUGAGCAAAAAUGUUUGAAGACCUUAGGCCUACCCAAUACACAUUCAUUCUUUCUUCCUUUUGUUCCUUAUACCAGAACUGCUGGCAAUGUGCCCAGCUAAAAAUCGAAGUCUCUUUGCAGAUAAAUACAGACAGGUGACUAAAUGCCGGCUAAUGACAUGCUCACUUUUGCCAUUUCUGCCUUCCACAUGAGGUGUGAAUACAAUGGCAGGAGCUCCAGCAACCACUUUUGGCCAUGCACUAAGAACAGCAGUACUGAAAGACAGAAGGAAAUUGGGUUCUAGAUGACUUUGUCACUCCUCCCUACCAACCACAAACUCCCUACCUCCAGGUUUCUUUUAGGAGAGAAAAAUAAAUCCAUACAUCUCUAAGUCACUAUUAUUUGGGGGUUUCUGUUAUACAAAGCCAAAUAUAAUCCUGCCUGGUAGAGUGGCUAUAGCAUGUUUCAUAUAAUCAAUCAAUCAUCAAACAUUCAGGUGUUUUCAGAUUACGCUAUUUAUUAUAAACCAUACUGUGAUCCUUAUAAGAUGUACCUUUGGAUACAUGCAUAGUCAUUUUUCUAGGAGACAGUCUAAAAAGUAAAUUCUGGGUCAAGAAUGUCUUGAUACAUAGUCAAUUUUUUUUCUUUACAAAGGUUAAUUUACACUCACAUCAAUAGUAUGCGAGGGACUUCACUAGUGGCGCAGUGGUUAGGAACCCGCCUGCCAAUGCAAGGGACGAGGGUUCGAAUCCUGGUCCGGGAAGAUCCCACAUGCCACGGAGCAGCUAAG